rnacentral:rRNA from 1 species
GACGAACCGUGCGAACGUUGUUCGGAUUCACUGGGCUUAAAGGGCGCGUAGGCGGAUCUGCAAGUCGGGGGUGAAAUCCCACGGCCCAACCGUGGAAGAGCUUUCGAUACUGCAGAUCUGGAGGGAGGUAGGGGCGUGUGGAACUUCCGGUGGAGCGGUGAAAUGCGUAGAUAUCGGAAGGAACGCCGGUGGCGAAAGCGACGCGCUGGACCUCUACUGACGCUGAGGCGCGAAAGCCAGGGGAGCAAACGGG